rnacentral:rRNA from 2 species
GCAGUCGACGCGUCUCCGUUGAUGAUUUCAGGUGCUUGCACUUGAGAGAUUUAACAUUGAGACGAGUGGCGAACUGGUGAGUAACACGUGGGUAACCUGCCCUUGAAGUAGGGGAUAACACUUGGAAACAGGUGCUAAUACCGUAUAACAACCAAAACCACCUGGUUUUGGUUUAAAAGACGGCUUCGGCUGUCACUUUAGGAUGGACCCGCGGCGUAUUAGCUUGUUGGUAAGGUAACGGCCUACCAAGGCGAUGAUACGUAGCCGACCUGAGAGGGUAAUCGGCCACAUUGGGACUGAAACACGGCCCAAACUCCUACGGGAGGCAGCAGUAGGGAAUCUUCCACAAUGGACGAAAGUCUGAUGGAGCAACGCCGCGUGAGUGAUGAAGGGUUUCGGCUCGUAAAACUCUGUUGUUGGAGAAGAACAGGUGUCAAAGUAACUGUUGACAUCUUGACGGUAUCCAACCAGAAAGCCACGGCUAACUACGUGCCAGCAGCCGCGGUAAUACGUAGGUGGCAAGCGUUGUCCGGAUUUAUUGGGCGUAAAGCGAGCGCAGGCGGUUUUUUAGGUCUGAUGUGAAAGCCUUCGGCUUAACCGGAGAAGUGCAUCGGAAACCGGGAGACUUGAGUGCAGAAGAGGACAGUGGAACUCCAUGUGUAGCGGUGAAAUGCGUAGAUAUAUGGAAGACACCAGUGCGAAGGCGGCUGUCUGGUCUGUAACUGACGCUGAGGCUCGAAAGCAUGGGUAGCGAACAGGAUUAGAUACCCUGUAGUCAUGCGUAACGAUGAGUGCUAAGUGUGGAGGUUCCGCCCUUCAGUGCUGCAGCUAACGCAUUAAGCACUCCGCCUGGGGGAGU